UACGUAGGGAGCAAGCGUUGUCCGGAAUCAUUGGGCGUAAAGCGCGCGUAGGUGGCCUCAUAAGUCCGCUGUGAAAGUCAAAGGCUCAACCUUUGAAAGCCGGUGGAUACUGUGAGGCUAGAGUACGGAAGAGGCGAGUGGAAUUCCUGGUGUAGCGGUGGAAUGCGCAGAUAUCAGGAGGAACACCAAUAGCGAAGGCAGCUCGCUGGGACGUUACUGACACUGAGGAGCGAAAGCGUGGGGAGCAAACAGG
rnacentral:rRNA from 1 species